rnacentral:rRNA from 1 species
GAGGGGCCCGCGUCCGAUUAGCUAGUUGGUGGGGUAAUGGCCUACCAAGGCUACGAUCGGUAGCCGGUCUGAGAGGACGAUCGGCCACACUGGGACUGAGACACGGCCCAGACUCCUACGGGAGGCAGCAGUGGGGAAUAUUGGACAAUGGGCGCAAGCCUGAUCCAGCCAUGCCGCGUGAGUGAAGAAGGCCUUCGGGUUGUAAAGCUCUUUUGGCGGGGACGAUGAUGACGGUACCCGCAGAAUAAGCCCCGGCUAACUUCGUGCCAGCAGCCGCGGUAAGACGAAGGGGGCAAGCGUUGUUCGGAAUUACUGGGCGUAAAGGGCGCGUAGGCGGCCAUUUUAGUCAGACGUGAAAGGCCUGGGCUCAACCUAGGAAUUGCGUUUGAUACUGAGUGGCUAGAGAGCGGGAGAGGAUGGUGGAAUUCCCAGUGUAGAGGUGAAAUUCGUAGAUAUUGGGAAG